UACGAAGGGGGGCUAGCGUUGCUCGGAAUUACUGGGCGUAAAGCGCACGUAGGCGGCUUUCUAAGUCGGGGGUGAAAUCCUGGAGCUCAACUCCAGAACUGCCUUCGAUACUGGAAAGCUCGAGUCCGGGAGAGGUGAGUGGAACUGCGAGUGUAGAGGUGAAAUUCGUAGAUAUUCGCAGGAACACCAGUGGCGAAGGCGGCUUACUGGUCCAUAACUGACGCUGAGGUGCGAAAGCGUGGGGAGCAAACAGG
rnacentral:rRNA from 1 species